GACGAACGCUGGCGGCGUGCCUAAUACAUGCAAGUUGAGCGCUGAAGGUUGGUACUUGUACCAACUGGAUGAGCAGCGAACGGGUGAGUAACGCGUGGGGAAUCUGCCUUUGAGCGGGGGACAACAUUUGGAAACGAAUGCUAAUACCGCAUAAAAACUUUAAACACAAGUUUUAAGUUUGAAAGAUGCAAUUGCAUCACUCAAAGAUGAUCCCGCGUUGUAUUAGCUAGUUGGUGAGGUAAAGGCUCACCAAGGCGAUGAUACAUAGCCGACCUGAGAGGGUGAUCGGCCACAUUGGGACUGGGACACGGCCCAAACUCCUGCGGGAGGCAGCAGUAGGGAAUCUUCGGCAAUGGACGAAAGUCUGAACGAGCAACGCCGCGUGAGUGAAGAAGGUUUUCGGAUCGUAAAACUCUGUUGGUAGAGAAGAACGUUGGUGAGAGUGGAAAGCUCAUCAAGUGACGGUAACUACCCAGAAAGGGACGGCUAACUACGUG
rnacentral:rRNA from 1 species